UACGUAGGGGGCGAGCGUUGUCCGGAAUUAUUGGGCGUAAAGGGCGCGUAGGCGGGUACUUAAGUCCGGUGUGAAAGAUCAGGGCUCAACCCUGAGAGUGCAUCGGAAACUGGGUAUCUUGAGGACAGGAGAGGAAAGUGGAAUUCCACGUGUAGCGGUGAAAUGCGUAGAUAUGUGGAGGAACACCGGUGGCGAAGGCGACUUUCUGGACUGUAACUGACGCUGAGGCGCGAAAGCGUGGGGAGCAAACAGG
rnacentral:rRNA from 1 species